AUCCCCGGCCUAGUUGCCCCUCGACUUGAAUUUACUAUUUUGCCCCUGGUUAUAUAUAACAUAUGUGUGUGUGUGUAGGGUUUUGGCUGACCACUCACACACAACACACACAGAGCCGCUCUCUCUCUCUGUUCUUGCUCUCUAUGUCUAGGGUUUCAACUUCCCCUCUCCCUCUUUCACACAACGACGGCGCCGAUCCUCCCUUACCGCCGCUCGUACCUCACUAUGGAUCCUCCUCCUUCACCGCCGCUGUUGGUUAGAACUUAGAGUUUUGCCUCUCUCUCUCUCUCUCUCUCACACACACACGACGGUUGGUCGCCCCUCACUGCCACUCCUACCUCGCCGGCGAUCCUCCCUCACUGUCGAUUUCAAAGGGUAUCUCUCUCUCUCUCUCUCGGGAUUUCGAUAUAGGAAUUCAAGUUGAAAGAGAUGAUGAAAAUUGUGAUGUGGUUGUAUGAGUAUUUGGACAAACAAUCUUGGUUUUUUAUCUUUUUUUUCUUAUGAUGGAUUUGGUUUGAUAUGUUCUAAUGGAUUUGUUUUGUUUUUUUUUUUAAUUUUAUUUUUUGGGUAGCCUAUCCCUUGCGGGCUGUGCUUGGGAGUAAUUAUUCUCUGUGCUUGUGAUGUGGUUGCUGAAUUUUCUUGUGUGGGCUGUGCAUGGGACUAUUUUGUUGUUUACAGAUGCUAUGUGGACAGAUGUUAUUUUAUUGCACAGUCCCAAUAUUAUUUUGUUGUUUACAGA